GAUGAACGCUGGCGGCGUGCCUAAUACAUGCAAGUCGAGCGAACAGACGAGGCGCUUGCUCCUUUGACGUUAGCGGCGGACGGGUGAGUAACACGUAGGUAACCUACUUAUAAGACUGGGAUAACUUCGGGAAACCGGAGCUAAUACCGGAUAAUAUUUCGAACCGCAUGGUUCGAUAGUGAAAGAUGGCUUUGCUAUCACUUAUCGAUGGACUUCCGCCGUAUUAGCUAGUUGGUAAGUUAACGGCUUACCAAGGCAACGAUACGUAGCCGACCUGAGAGAGUGAUCGGCCACACUGGAAGUGGGCCACGCUCCAGACUCCUACGGUAGGCAGCAGUAUGGAAUCUGCCGCAGUGGGCGAAAGCCUUACGGAACAACGCGGCGUGAGUGAUGAAGGUCUUCGGAUCGUAAUACUCUGUUAUUAGGGGAGAACAAACGUGGAAGUAACUGUGCACGUCUUGACGGUACCUAAUCAGAAAGCCACGGCUAACUACGUG
rnacentral:rRNA from 1 species